GAGUUUGAUCUUGGCUCAGAUUGAACGCUGGCGGCAUGCCUUACACAUGCAAGUCGAACGGCAGCACGGGAGCUUGCUCCUGGUGGCGAGUGGCGAACGGGUGAGUAAUGCAUCGGAACGUAUCCUGGAGUGGGGGAUAACGUAGCGAAAGUUACGCUAAUACCGCAUAUUCUGUGAGCAGGAAAGCGGGGGACCUUCGGGCCUCGCGCUCUUGGAGCGGCCGAUGUCGGAUUAGCUAGUUGGUGAGGUAAAGGCUCACCAAGGCGACGAUCCGUAGCAGGUCUGAGAGGAUGAUCCGCCACACUGGAACUGAGACACGGUCCAGACUCCUACGGGAGGCAGCAGUGGGAAUUUUGGACAAUGGGGGCAACCCUGAUCCAGCCAUGCCGCGUGAGUGAAGAAGGCCUU
rnacentral:rRNA from 1 species